GUGCCAGCAGCCGCGGUAAGACGAACCGUGCGAACGUUGUUCGGAUUCACUGGGCUUAAAGGGCGCGUAGGCGGACUCGCAAGUCUGUGGUGAAAGCCCCCAGCUCAACUGGGGAAGUGCCGUGGAUACUGCAAGUCUGGAGGAGGGUAGGGGCAUCUGGAACGCUGGGUGGAGCGGUGAAAUGCGUUGAUAUCCAGCGGAACUCCGGUGGCGAAGGCGAGGUGCUGGACCCUUUCUGACGCUGAGGCGCGAAAGCCAGGGGAGCAAACGGGAUUAGAAACCCGCGUAGUCC
rnacentral:rRNA from 1 species